rnacentral:rRNA from 2 species
UGGCUCAGGAUGAACGCUGGCGGCGUGCUUAAUACAUGCAAGUCGAGCGAAUGGAUUGAGAGCUUGCUCUCAAGAAGUUAGCGGCGGACGGGUGAGUAACACGUGGGUAACCUGCCCAUAAGACUGGGAUAACUCCGGGAAACCGGGGCUAAUACCGGAUAACAUUUUGAACUGCAUGGUUCGAAAUUGAAAGGCGGCUUCGGCUGUCACUUAUGGAUGGACCCGCGUCGCAUUAGCUAGUUGGUGAGGUAACGGCUCACCAAGGCAACGAUGCGUAGCCGACCUGAGAGGGUGAUCGGCCACACUGGGACUGAGACACGGCCCAGACUCCUACGGGAGGCAGCAGUAGGGAAUCUUCCGCAAUGGACGAAAGUCUGACGGAGCAACGCCGCGUGAGUGAUGAAGGCUUUCGGGUCGUAAAACUCUGUUGUUAGGGAAGAACAAGUGCUAGANNNUANAGUUGAAUAAGCUGGCACCUUGACGGUACCUAACCAGAAAGCCACGGCUAACUACGUGCCAGCAG